GUGGGGAAUAUUGGACAAUGGGCGAAAGCCUGAUCCAGCACGCCGCGUGAGUGAUGAAGGCCUUAGGGUUGUAAAGCUCUUUUACCCGGGAUGAUAAUGACAGUACCGGGCAGAAUAAGCUCCGGCUAACUCCGUGCCAGCAGCCGCGGUAAUACGGAGGGAG
rnacentral:rRNA from 1 species